UACGAAGGGGCGAGCGUUGUUCGGAAUUACUGGGCGUAAAGGGCGCGUAGGCGGCACUGUUAGUCAGGCGUGAAAGUCCUGGGCUCAACCUGGGAACUGCGCUUGAUACGGCAGAGCUAGAGGAUGGAAGAGGCUCGCGGAAUUCCCAGUGUAGAGGUGAAAUUCGUAGAUAUUGGGAAGAACACCGGUGGCGAAGGCGGCGAGCUGGUCCAUUACUGACGGCGAGCGCGAAAGCUAGGGGAGCAAACAGGA
rnacentral:rRNA from 1 species